AAAUCAUUACGUUUACUGCAUGUUUUUUUUGCCAAUUAAGAUUCAAGAGUCAUUCAAUAACAAAAUAAAGAAGGAGGAUUAAAAUUUUGCUAUGAUCCAGAAGUCAGCUAUUUUAUCAAUACAUAAGGAUAUUUAAUUUUGAAAUUUCUCUCAUGAAGAACUUUAUUUUCGAACGUUGAAUAAAAAAACAAGAAGAAUAAAGGAUACAGGAUGUUGAAGAAAAAAGCGGCUGACUGAAUGUUGACUUUACUACUUUCAGUGUAUAAAAGGGAAGGAUCCAUGAGCAACGCUGCAACAUUUUUCGACGUAUUCAAUUUGUG